rnacentral:lncRNA from 1 species
CAAACACAAGUCACAGAGCUGAAAAAUAAAAUAAUUGAAAUGAAAAUUUCACGUCCCCUAAUCCUCCAGGGAAAGCUACACACCUCAGGAUUGCUCCCAGCUGGCCGUGAAGCUCCGUGACUUGUGAAGGUGGCUUUUUUCUCUCCAGAAAGGAAUUUCUGCCUCUCCCAUCUCAGUCAGGGCUGUCCCUUGUUGCAGGGGUUCUUUUUAUCCAGUUUUCAGUUCUCUCUCAGGGGUAUUUGUUUCAAGAAUGGUUGUGACUUGGUUGUGUUCGUGGAAGGAGGUGAGUUCAGAGUCUGCCUAUGCCACCAUCUUGACACCAACUGUCUUGAACUGAAAAUUUCAAUAAAGGGGUUCACGGCAGACUAGAUGAAGUGGAAGAAAAGAUCAGUGAACUCGAAGGCAAGGCAGUGGGAUUCAUCCAAUCAGAGGAGCAAAAAGUAAAAUAAAUGAGAGGAAGAAAAAAUGGCAAUGUAGGAGAACCCAGCUUCCCCAUACCUCCACAAAAGUCAUCAAUUAGGCAGCCAUCCGUAAAAAAAAAAUAGCUCUUGGAGACUUCUAGAGUCCACUAGGUAAGUUUUAGCAAUGUUGUGGAACAAAAAAAAAUGAGAAAAUCACACAAGAAGAGAAGGAAGACAGCUUCAUUGUGCCUGCAUCAUUCCGUCUCUAGUGGGCAUUGCUCAGGACCAAGAAGGAACUUCUCAGCGAGGAAGUUCCUCUAACCAAGAGAGGAAGAGCCUGGUGAGCAACAAGCUUCUCCAGCCCCUGCAGACACUGCUCAAAGGCCCCACUUGGAUUUCACCUGACUCAGACCCACAAAGCUGAGAUGCAUAGAGCCAGCUAGGAACAAGGAAGAAAAGCAGAGGCUAUUAGCAAACACAGUAGGAGUCUUCAUCAUUCACAAAGAUCUGCCCCGCAGACCAACUCAGCAGCUUCCCUCAACAACAAACUCAUCAGUGAGCUCAGCUGCUGCAGGUCUUGCCAGCUGCCCCCGCCCCCCCCCCACAGGUGUUUGCAUUACUGAUGCCAGUCUCCUUAGUCCCUCCUGGCUCCCUCCUUUCACUCCCACUGGAGCCUUGACCCACACUGAUACAUCCAAGGUCUCUACAACUGUGCAAGUGUAAGACACCAGCUACCUGAGUC